AUUACUACCUUCUACGCAAUUAAAUCACAAAGUAAGCAAAGUCAAUUGAAUGGUGGCUGAACAACCAUCACUUCUACACGGCAUUAAAAACUGAAAAUGAACACAAUUUAGCUUUACCAGCUAAUUUAGUCAGGUAUCACCCUACGGCAUCAACACCAUUUAUCACUAUCACUGCAGCCUGGCAUGUAGGCCCUAUCAUCAGUAGCUUUCACAAAGCAAAUUAAGAACUUUUUAACGUUGUCUUUGCUCAGGAAAGAAAAACAAACAUUUAAUAUUCUUUACAUAUCAGCUCUUUGUAGUCAACUCCAGUGUCAUAUUAACCUCAACAUUUGGAAGUUAGAAGUAAUACAAAAAUUUGCUUCAGUAUAUAAUACAUAUGUUUUUCAGAUUCCUACAAAGCAUAAAAAUUAUAACUUUCAAAGGCCGGGUGCAUUGGCUCAUGCCUGUAACACUAGCACUUUGGGAGGCCCAGGCAGGCGGAUUGCCUGAGCUCAGGAGUUCCAGACCAGCCUGAGCAACAUGGUGAAACCCUGUCUCUACUAAAAUACAAAAGAAAUUAGCCAGGCGUGGCAGUGUGCGCCUAUAGUCCCAGCUACUCGGGAGGCUGAGGCAGGAGAAUUGCUUGAGCCCGGGAGGCAGAGGUUGCAGCGAGCCAAGAUCACGCCACUGCAUUCCAGCCUGGGCAACAGAGCAAGACUCCAUCUCUACCAAAAAAAAAAAAAAAAAAAAAAAAAUUAUAGCCUUCAAAAAGUUACAUAUGUAGAAAAAUAAUUGAAUUUUGCUCUGUGUAGACUCAAACUACUGCCAUUCUUACAUAUUUAAUGUAAUAUUCUUUAUUCAUUUGUUAUCCUUUCAAUAUAUUUUAUUCCUAUAAGAUUGUGUGCUAAAUUCAAAAAAUUGCAUUCAUUUUUUAUAUGGCAUAAACACUAUGCAUUUGAGUUAGCAAUUGAAAACUCAAUCUGGUCUCACAGUUAAGAUUUCGUAGCAGACUUGGAAUGAGUAGAGGGAAUUAUUGAUUUUU
rnacentral:lncRNA from 10 species